CUACGGGUUGCAGCAGUGGGGAAUAUUGGACAAUGGGGGAAACCCUGAUCCAGCAAUGCCGCGUGUGUGAAGAAGGCCUGCGGGUUGUAAAGCACUUUCGGUUGGGAGGACUGCUUCUAGCACUAAUAUUGUUGGAAGUUGACGUUACCUUCAGAAGAAGCACCGGCUAACUCCGUGCCAGCAGCCGCGGUAAUACGGAAGGUGCAAGCGUUAAUCGGAAUUACUGGGCGUAAAGCGCGCGUAGGCGGCUAGAUCAGUCGGGUGUGAAAGCCCCGGGCUUAACCUGGGAACUGCAUCCGAUACUGUGUAGCUUGAGUACAGGAGAGGAGAGUGGAAUUCCACAUGUAGCGGUGAAAUGCGUAGAUAUGUGGAGGAACACCAAUGGCGAAGGCAGCUCUCUGGCCUGAUACUGACGCUGAGGUGCGAAAGCGUGGGGAGCAAACAGGAUUAGAUACCCGUGUAGUC
rnacentral:rRNA from 1 species